rnacentral:rRNA from 1 species
UACCCGCAGCACAAGUGGUGGUCAUUAUUAUUGGGCCUAAAGCGUCCGUAGCUGGCCUGUUAGAUGCCUGGGUAAAUCGAUGCGCUCAACGUAUCGAACUCCGGGUAGACCGGCAGGCUUGGGACCGGGGGAGAUGUGAGCUACUCGAGGGGUAGGGGUAAAAUCCUGUAAUCCUUCGGGGAGGACCAGUGGCGAAGGCGUCACAUUAGAACGGCUCCGACAGUGAGGGACGAAGCCCUGGGGCGCAAACCGG